UACGGAAGGUCCAGGCGUUAUCCGGAUUUAUUGGGUUUAAAGGGAGCGUAGGCGGACUUUUAAGUCAGCUGUGAAAUACCUCGGCUCAACCGAGGCACUGCAGUUGAUACUGUUAGUCUUGAGUGCACAUAAGGAUGGUGGAAUUCGUGGUGUAGCGGUGAAAUGCUUAGAUAUCACGAAGAACUCCGAUUGCGAAGGCAGCUAUCUGGGGUGUAACUGACGCUGAGGCUCGAAAGUGUGGGUAUCAAACAGG
rnacentral:rRNA from 1 species